CAAUAGCGUAUAUUAAAGUUGUUGCGGUUAAAAAGCUCGUAGUUGGAUUUCUGUUGGGAACGACCGGUCCGCCCAUUGGGUGUGUAUCUGGCUUGUUCUCGGCAUCUUCUUGGUGAACGUUGCUGCACUUGACUGUGUGGAGCGCUACCCAGGACUUUUACUUUGAGGAAAUUAGAGUGUUUCAAGCAGGCAUAUGCCUUGAAUACAUUAGCAUGGAAUAAUAAGAUAGGACCUCGGUUCUAUUUUGUUGGUUUCUAGAGCUGAGGUAAUGAUUAAUAGGGAUAGUUGGGGGCAUUCGUAUUUAACUGUCAGAGGUGAAAUUCUUGGAUUUACGCAAGACAAACAGCUGCGAAAGCGUCUGCCAAGGAUGUUUUCAUUAA
rnacentral:rRNA from 1 species